AUUGAACGCUGGCGGCAGGCCUAACACAUGCAAGUCGAACGAGUGGCGGACGGGUGAGUAAUGUCUGGGAAACUGCCUGAUGGAGGGGGCUAACUACUGGAAACCGUCGCUAAUACCGCAUACCAUCCGAUGUGCCCAGAUGGGAUUAGCUAGUAGGUGGGGUAAAGGCGCACCUGGGCGACGAUCCCUAGCUGGUCUGAGAGGAUGACCAGCCACACUGGAGCGGAGACACGGGCCAGACUCCUACGGGAGGCAGGAGUGGGGAAUAUUGCAGAAUGGGCGGAAGCCUGAUGCAGCCAUGCCGCGUGUAUGAAGAAGGCCUUCGGGUUGUAAAGUACUUUCAGCGGGGAGGCGUUACCCGCAGAAGAAGCACCGGCUAACUCCGGGCCAGCAGCCGCGGUAAUACC
rnacentral:rRNA from 1 species